CAGGCAGGACUGGCUUAAGACUUCUUCUCCAUCUGUAGGCUGAACCCGUUAUCCUCAUUUUGCAGAAGCAGAAACUGAGGCUCAGAAGCGUUGGGCCACACGCAUGCAUUGCCUUUCCCAGGUAGCUGGUGCUCCAUCCCCAGUAAUAAGGUGCAUUGGAAAUUCAAAUUUCGGAAUAAGCUGACUGCCAAGAGGGUCCUCCCCCUGUCGGGGCCUGUCUGAGCCCCUUAGUCCAUGGGAAAUUCACAGAGAAGGGAACGGUCACUUUUCCUGCACCUGAGAAGAGACAGAGUCUCACUGCGUUGCCCAGGCUGGUC